rnacentral:tRNA from 1 species
GCCCGGGUAGCUCAAUCGGUAGAGCGGCGCUUUUGUAAAGCGAAGGUUCGGAGGUUCAAUUCCUCUCCCGGGCU